GGGGGAAAAUUAAUAAAAUAAAAAUAAUAAAAUAAAUUUUAAAAUUAAAAAUAAAUAAUGGGGGUUAAAGUAUUUUUAAUAGAAAAAAUUUUAAAUUUUAUAGGGAAAUAUGUAUUGUAAAAGAAAUUUGAAAUAAUUUAAAAUAAAUUAUUAAAAAAGAAAAUUUUAUUUAUUGUAUCUUGUGUAUCAGAGUUUAUUAAAUAUUUUUUUUUUAUAAAAAAAUUUCGAAUUUAAAAGAGUAAAUUAAUUAAAAAAGUUAAUGUGGCAUAAUUAUUUUAAAUAAUUAAUUGGAAAUGAAAUGUUAAUCGUUUUUAAAUAUAUCUAGUUAUUUUAGAAAAAAAUUUAAUUUUAAAUUUAAAUAAUUUUAUAAUUUAAUAAAAAAAAUUAUGAAAAUUUAAAUUCAAUAUUUUAAGGGAUAAGCUUUAAAUUAAAAAUUUAUAAUAAAAAUUAAUAAAAAUUAAAAUUUUUAAAAUUUAUAUUGUUUAAAAAUUAUAAUUUAUUAUAAAAAAUUUUAUUUUAAAUAAAAUUUUAUAAAAAAUAUUUAAUUUUGUAUAAAAUAAUAAUUUUUAAUAGAAUAAAAUUAGUAAUAAUGAUAAAAUUAGUAUAAAAUAAAUAAAAAAAAAUAAUUUUGGGGUAAAAUUAAAUAAAAGGAAUUCGGCAAAAGUAGUAUUCACUUGUUUAUCAAAAACAUGUCUUUUUGAAAAUAAUUUAAAGUCUAAUCUGCCCACUGAUAAAUAUUAAAGGGCUGCAGUAUAUUGACUGUACAAAGGUAGCAUAAUCAUUAGUUUUUUAAUUGGAAACUUGUAUGAAAGAUUUGAUGAGAUACAGACUGUCUCUUAUUUAGGAUUAAAAAUUUAUUUUUUAGUUAAAAAGCUAAAAUAAUUUUAAAAGACGAGAAGACCCUAUAGAGUUUUAUAUUUUAUAAAAUAUAAAAAUUAUAUAAAAAUUAAAAUUAAUAUUUAAUAAAUUAUUAUAUUGGGGUGAUAGAAAAAUUAAAUUAACUUUUUUUAAAAAUUAAUCAUUAAUAAAUGAAUAAAUGAUCCAUACAUAAUGAUUAUAAGAAAAAAUUACCUUAGGGAUAACAGCGUAAUAUUUUUUUUUAGUUCAAAUAAAAAAAAAAGUUUGCGACCUCGAUGUUGGAUUAAGAUAAAAUUUAAAUGCAAACGUUUAAAAUUUUGAUCUGUUCGAUCAUUAAAAUCUUACAUGAUCUGAGUUCAAACCGGUGUGAGCCAGGUUGGUUUCUAUCUUUAGAUAAAAAGAAUAUUUUAGUACGAAAGGAUUGAGUAUUCAAAAUAAUUUUAAUAAAAGAAUAUUAUUAAUGAAAUUAUAGACUAAUA
rnacentral:rRNA from 1 species